UCUCUUUUUUUGAGUAAAUAGCUUCUAUUUGCUUUCUAAUUCUAUCUUCUUUUUUACUUUUUUCCCUUUAGAGUCUCGUAGCUCAGCUGGUUAGAGCGCUACACUGAUAAUGUAGAGGUCGGCAGUUCGAGUCUGCCCGAGACUACAUAAUUAAAGGGGGGAUUAGCUCAGCUGGUUAGAGCGCCGCGUUUGCAACGCGGAGGUCAUCGGUUCGACUCCGAUAUUCUCCACUAAAAAGUUCUUUGACAUAUUGUAAUGAAUAUAUAUAUACUUANUAU
rnacentral:tRNA from 1 species